rnacentral:rRNA from 1 species
UACGUAGGGGGCAAGCGUUGUCCGGAUUUAUUGGGCGUAAAGAGCGUGUAGGCGGCCUGGAAGGUCAGCUGUGAAAACUCGAGGCUCAACCUCGAGACGUCGGUUGAAACCACCUGGCUAGAGUCCGGAAGAGGAGUGUGGAAUUCCCGGUGUAGCGGUGGAAUGCGCAGAUAUCAGGAGGAACACCGGUGGCGAAGGCGGGUCUCUGGGCCGAUACUGACGCUGAGGAGCGAAAGCAUGGGUAGCGAACAGG